CCUUGACAUACUAAGAACUUUCCAGAGAUGGAUUGGUGCCUUCGGGAACUUAGAUACAGGUGCUGCAUGGCUGUCGUCAGCUCGUGUCGUGAGAUGUUGGGUUAAGUCCCGCAACGAGCGCAACCCUUUUCCUUAUUUGCCAGCGGGUCAUGCCGGGAACUUUAAGGAUACUGCCAGUGACAAACUGGAGGAAGGCGGGGACGACGUCAAGUCAUCAUGGCCCUUACGGCCAGGGCUACACACGUGCUACAAUGGUCGGUACAAAGGGUUGCUACCUCGCGAGAGGAUGCUAAUCUCAAAAAGCCGAUCGUAGUCCGGAUCGCAGUCUGCAACUCGACUGCGUGAAGUCGGAAUCGCUAGUAAUCGCGGAUCAGAAUGCCGCGGUGAAUACGUUCCCGGGCCUUGUACACACCACCCGUCACACCAUGGGAGUUUGUUGCACCAGAAGUAGGUAGUCUAACCGCAAGGAGGACGCUUACCACGGUGUGGCCGAUGACUGGGGUGAAGUCGUAACAAGGUAGGCGUAGAUGA
rnacentral:rRNA from 1 species